rnacentral:rRNA from 1 species
AACCUGCCCUUCAGAGGGGGACGAACAGUUGGAAACGACUGCUAAUACCGCAUACGAUCUAAUCUCGGCAUCGAGGAAAGAUGAAAGGUGGCCUCUAUUUAUAAGCUAUCACUGAAGGAGGGGAUUGCGUCUGAUUAGCUAGUUGGAGGGGUAACGGCCCACCAAGGCGAUGAUCAGUAGCCGGUCUGAGAGGAUGAACGGCCACAUUGGGACUGAGACACGGCCCAGACUCCUACGGGAGGCAGCAUG